AUGAAGGAGAAGAAAAGGACAAAAGACCUCAUUGCGAUUCCCUCCUCACCUCUCUUGCUCGCAGCUUCACUCCCUCCCCUUCACCACCCACAGCCCUUCUUCCCAUGCUAACCUCCCACAGUGGCCAAUAAAUCCUGCAAAACCCCACCACAGUCCUCCCUCCCAUACCCUUCCAAGAACCCAAGAAGACCACAUCAAUAAAGCAGACAGAGAUGGCUUCCGUCCCUGGAGCUCAAUCUCUCCCCCUGCUCCUCUUCUUCCUCCUCCUGGUUGCUUCUUUCUCCCGCUUUCCAUGCUCAGCUGAUGCGGUGACCGGGCCGACGGCGUCGAUGAAUCCGGUGUCGGCGGUGCCGGGGCUGCGGCCGGUGCUGAUCGACGAGGCCAAGCGGCGCCGACUCGGUAACUUCCAGAUAUGUGCCCUCUGCACCUGCUGUGGAGGCCCCAGGGGGCUCUGCCUCCCGUCUCCCUGCUGCUACACCAUCAACUGCAACAUCCCCAACAGGCCCUUUGGCUUCUGCUCCUUCACCCCGAGGACAUGCAACUGUUUUGGGUGCCACCUCUGAGAAGAAAGACUGUUCCUUUUCUUCCCUUCUUACCUUCUUAUUUGAGCUUCUGCUUUUACUGGUAUUGUUUCUCAAAUGUCAAAUGUGUUGCAUUUGCAUAGAAGAUUGCUAAACUGUUCAUACCGAGUGAGUGCUUCCAUCA